AUUGAACGCUGGCGGCAGGCUUAACACAUGCAAGUCGAGCGAGCGGCGGACGGGUGAGUAAUGUAUGGGAAACUGCCUGAUGGAGGGGGAUAACUACUGGAAACGGUAGCUAAUACCGCAUACCAUCAGAUGUGCCCAUAUGGGAUUAGCUAGUGGGUGGGGGAACGGCUAACCACGGCGACGAUCCCUAGCUGGUCUGAGAGGAUGACCAGCGACACUGGAACUGAGACACGGUCCAGACGCCUACGGGAGGCAGCAGUGGGGAAUAUUGCACAAUGGGGGAAAGCCUGAUGCAGCCAUGCCGCGUGUAUGAAGAAGGCCUUCGGGUUGUAAAGCACUUUCAGCGGGGAGGCGGUACUCGCAGAAGAAGCACCGGCUAACUCCGUGCAAGCAGCCGCGGUAAUAC
rnacentral:rRNA from 1 species